GGGCCCGCACAAGCGGUGGAGCAUGUGGUUUAAUUCGAUGCAACGCGAAAAACCUUACCAGGCCUUGACAUCCUGAGAAUUCGGUAGAGAUACCUUAGUGCCUUCGGGAACUCAGUGACAGGUGUUGCAUGGCUGUCGUCAGCUCGUGUCGUGAGAUGUUGGGUUAAGUCCCGUAACGAGCGCAACCCUUAUCCUUAUUUGCCAGCACUUCGGGUGGGAACUUUAAGGAGACUGCCGGUGACAAACCGGAGGAAGGAGAGGAUGAUGUCAAGUCAUCAUGGCCCUUACGGCCUGGGCUACACACGUGCUACAAUGGGCAGUACAGAGGGCCGCGAUACCGCGAGGUGGAGCAAA
rnacentral:rRNA from 1 species